GAGGCGGGGCUGAAACUGCCCCGGAAAUGCAGGCAGGGCGAGGCGGUGUAAGCAGAGUGGGCCGGGUGGCGGGCUUGUGGUGCAUGGGGGGCGGAGCUGGGACACAGAGAUGGGAUGAGGCGUGAAGCCGGGAACCUGCACACCAGGACCCUGUGUGGAGCUGUGGCACCAUGUGAAACUGGGACUGCUCGGGGGGCGCACGGAGUAGGGCACGGCAUUAGAGCCAGACCCUGUGCGGAGCUGGAGCGAGGACUCCAUUCUCAUGAGGACACCUGGAGAGAGACUGCCUCAGUCAGUUCUUCCCUGGAGCCCUUUCCUGUCUCACCAGCCUCUCAAACCCGUCCCCCCAUCCCUGCUGUUCCCAGCCUGAUCACAAUCCUCAGAAGACAUUGGUGUGAUUCUCACUAAUGCCCUAAAGCUGACUGAUUUUGCUCUCGUAUGAAUAUGUCUGCCCCAUUGGAGACUCAUUCACAGAAGCAAAAAUGAACUUGUUUUUUUGUUUUAUCAGAGCCUCAGGGUCUCAGGGUUCCCUCCUAGUCACUGCACCCUGCAGGCCUGUUGCUCCCUCUGUAAACAUUAGUACUAGCUCGGGCCUGGAUGAAGGGGGACUCUGUUACUUGCUGACUUCCUUCAUACUUUAAACUCUGUACAUUUCACAGUGCUUCUUCUACUUAUUUACAAAUCAUGCCUGGCCUUCCUCCUUGGCUCUUCUUUCUUCCUUUGCUAUGCCUUGCUCAUCCUCUGGGUGUGCCAACUCUCCCAGCAAUGAAUGAGGCUUUUUCUUACACCAUUGACUCCAGACUCACAGUAGGAAACACUGGAGAAAUCACUAAGACAAACAGCCUUUAGCGAACCUAAGUCUUUACUCAGGCUGUUGCUUUGCUUCCUUAUGACAGAAACCAGCCUUGGAGAUGUUGACAGGUGAGUCUUGGUCCCCUGUGCCACUGCAGGGCGUACAGAACAGCAUUCCAUGGGCAGAGAGAGGCAUCAGGCAGCUCCUCAGCACCUUGGAGUGCAGAGCACCCUGAUGUGAAGUCUCCACUGCUACAGCGGCCACACUGCAACCCAUCUGAGAAUGCUGAGUGGAGAAUGAGGCCUUCCAUUAGACAGUGCUGCAAAGCCAAGACCAGCGUCCUUUGAGAGAAGAAGAAAAGUAAGAAGAGGAUGACCCACGAGAGGGCAGCAAGUGUGCACUGGACAGCUGGCAGUUGAUCAUUGAGGAGAAAACCCAAAGGGUCAGUGAGGAAUGAGAGGCCAUGACAGAGACAAGGAGAGUCAUGGAGAUGUGGAGGAAGUGAGGCAAGAAAGAGCCAAGGAAUGCAUCAGAGUCAAAGGCCAUUAGAAAAACCACAACCUAAAGAACUCAGAUAAAAAGGUGUGCAAACAGCAAACGCCUGGGCAGGGAUGCCUUUGGCUGCCUUCUGGGGAGAAAAGAUCAGAGAAGCAUCAGGCCGUGUUUGUGUGGAAGCCAUCUCUCUGGGCUGCUGCAGACUGAACUGACUGCUGGAGGUCCCCAUAGCCCUGCAGAUUGUCACCUGGUAAAGUAUAAUGCUCUGUCAUGCCCCCUCCAACCCAUGUCCACAUACUUAUCACAUGGCGUGCAGAAUUCAGAAAAUCCAGCAUCCUCAGAGAAGUAGCCCUGUUUGCACUCGCAUUUCCGGUCAGUGACUGAGGAGCAAUCUCGUACCAUUUCUUGGUCUGCAGUCCAAGGAACACUGGGGUCAGCUCAAAGUGGAGAUCCUGACCUCAGCCAGGCCCAUGACAUUGUAGUUACUAGAGACUCCCGUCCAUCCCGAACACAGUGUGUCCCCUAUACACAGCUUAAUCCACCAAAGCAGGUGCACUGAGGUCUUGUUUAAUCUCAAGCACAAGAUCUAUGUGAAGCCAAGUGUGGUAGGGUACACCUGGAAUCCCAGCAGCUGGGAGGCUGAGGCAGGAGGAUUGUAGGGAGUUCAAGGCCAGCUUAGGCUACAAAGUGAGUUGAAAACCAUUCUGAACUGCACAAAACUGAACCCUAGCUCAAAACAAAAAUAAUCUCUGGGGCCCACCUGCCUCUAUUCAUUCUGCUUUUCCACAUGUCGGAAAACUUUAACAAUAAAAAUUUGCCUGUUCUCUAGGAA